AACCAAAACCCAAGCAUGAUGAUUGGGUUUUCAUGCUGUUGUAUGACAUGUGCCUUCCUCAAAACUUGUUAGGACGUCAUCACAUCACCCGUCUGAUG
ensembl:snoRNA